rnacentral:rRNA from 1 species
UGACCUCGAUCAGUAGAGCCAGUCAUGGU